CAGAGUUGAAAAAACUCCCUAAACCCUUUGUUUUAUAUACCUGUUCAGUUGCUUCGGCAGGCGGCCCCCAGGGGCGGGGCCUCCAGCCUGCUCGCAGCAGGUGCCUGCCGCUGGCGCACAAACUCUUUGCUAUAUGUUACCAUUUCCGAGUCUUAUAAAAAUGAAUCA
rnacentral:misc_RNA from 1 species